AGUAACACAUAUCCAACCUGCCGUCUACUCUUGGACAGCCUUCUGAAGGAAGAUUAAUACAAGAUGGCAUCAUGAGUUCACAUGUUCACAUGAUUAAAGGUAUUCCGGUAGACGAUGGGGAUGCGUUCCAUUAGAUAGUAGGCGGGGUAACGGCCCACCUAGUCUUCGAUGGAUAGGGGUUCUGAGAGGAAGGUCCCCCACAUUGGAACUGAGACACGGUCCAA
rnacentral:rRNA from 1 species